rnacentral:rRNA from 1 species
AGUGGCGCACGGGUGAGUAACGCGUACGCAAUUUGCCCUUAAGAGGGGGAUAGCCCUGGGAAACUGGGAGUAAUACCCCAUGUGGUUAUUGUUUUGCAUGAGACGAUAACCAAAGCUGAGGCGCUUAAGGAUAAGCGUGCGUCUGAUUAGCUAGUUGGUGGGGUAACGGCUCACCAAGGCGAUGAUCAGUAGGGGGCGUGAGAGCGUGGCCCCUCACACGGGUACUGAGACACGGACCCGACUCCUACGGGAGGCAGCAGUAAGGAAUAUUGGGCAAUGGGCGGAAGCCUGACCCAGCCAUCCCGCGUGCAGGAAGAAUGCCCUAUGGGUUGUAAACUGCUUUUGCAUGAGAAGAAAAAUGUCCAUUUAUGGAUUUCUGACGGUAUCUUGCGAAUAAGCACCGGCUAACUCCGUGCCAGCAGCCGCGGUAAUACGGAGGGUGCAAGCGUUAUCCGGAAUCACUGGGUUUAAAGGGUGCGUAGGCGGCACGAUAAGUCAGAGGUGAAAGACUGUGGCUCAACCAUAGUAUUGCCUUUGAUACUGUUGUGCUUGAAUGAGGUUGAGGCAGGCAGAAUGUGGCAUGUAGCGGUGAAAUGCAUAGAUAUGCCAUAGAAUACCGAUUGCGAAGGCAGCCUGCUGGACCUGAAUUGACGCUGAGGCACGAAAGCGUGGGGAUCAAACAGGAUUAGAUAC